GACGAACGCUGGCGGCGUGCUUAACACAUGCAAGUCGAACGAAGAGCGAUGGAAGCUUGCUUCUAUCAAUCUUAGUGGCGAACGGGUGAGUAACGCGUAAUCAACCUGCCCUUCAGAGGGGGACAACAGUUGGAAACGACUGCUAAUACCGCAUACGAUCUAAUCUCGGCACCGAGGAUAGAUGAAAGGUGGCCUCUACAUGUAAGCUAUCACUGAAGGAGGGGAUUGCGUCUGAUUAGCUAGUUGGAGGGGUAACGGCCCACCAAGGCGAUGAUCAGUAGCCGGUCUGAGAGGAUGAACGGCCACAUUGGGACUGAGACACGGCCCAGACUCCUACGGGAGGCAGCAGUGGGGAAUCUUCCGCAAUGGACGAAAGUCUGACGGAGCAACGCCGCGUGAGUGAUGACGGCCUUCGGGUUGUAAAGCUCUGUUAAUCGGGACGAAAGGCCUUCUUGCGAAUAGUGAGAAGGAUUGACGGUACCGGAAUAGAAAGCCACGGCUAACUACGUG
rnacentral:rRNA from 1 species